AGUGAACGCUGGCGGUAGGCCUAACACAUGCAAGUCGAACGGCAGCACAGUAAGAGCUUGCUCUUACGGGUGGCGAGUGGCGGACGGGUGAGGAAUACAUCGGAAUCUACUUUUUCGUGGGGGAUAACGUAGGGAAACUUACGCUAAUACCGCAUACGACCUACGGGUGAAAGCAGGGGAUCUUCGGACCUUGCGCGAUUGAAUGAGCCGAUGUCGGAUUAGCUAGUUGGCGGGGUAAAGGCCCACCAAGGCGACGAUCCGUAGCUGGUCUGAGAGGAUGAUCAGCCACACUGGAACGGAGACACGGUCCAGACUCCUACGGGAGGCAGCAGUGGGGAAUAUUGGACAAUGGGCGCAAGCCUGAUCCAGCCAUACCGAGUGGGUGAAGAAGGCCUUCGGGUUUUAAAGCCCUUUUGUUGGGAAAGAAAAGCAGCAGGUUAAUACCCCGCUGUUCUGACGGUACCCAAAGAAUAAGCACCGGCUAACUUCGUG
rnacentral:rRNA from 1 species